rnacentral:rRNA from 1 species
UGAACGCUGGCGGCAGGCCUAACACAUGCAAGUCGAACGGUAGCACAGAGAGCUUGCUCUCGGGUGACGAGUGGCGGACGGGUGAGUAAUGUCUGGGAAACUGCCCGAUGGAGGGGGAUAACUACUGGAAACGGUAGCUAAUACCGCAUAACGUCUUCGGACCAAAGUGGGGGACCUUCGGGCCUCACACCAUCGGAUGUGCCCAGAUGGGAUUAGCUAGUAGGUGGGGUAAUGGCUCACCUAGGCGACGAUCCCUAGCUGGUCUGAGAGGAUGACCAGCCACACUGGAACUGAGACACGGUCCAGACUCCUACGGGAGGCAGCAGUGGGGAAUAUUGCACAAUGGGCGCAAGCCUGAUGCAGCCAUGCCGCGUGUAUGAAGAAGGCCUUCGGGUUGUAAAGUACUUUCAGCGGGGAGGAAGGCGAUGGAGUUAAUAGCUUCAUCGAUUGACGUUACCCGCAGAAGAAGCACCGGCUAACUCCGUGCCAGCAGCCGCGGUAAUACGGAGGGUGCAAGCGUUAAUCGGAAUUACUGGGCGUAAAGCGCACGCAGGCGGUCUGUCAAGUCGGAUGUGAAAUCCCCGGGCUUAACCUGGGAACUGCAUUCGAAACUGGCAGGCUAGAGUCUUGUAGAGGGGGGUAGAAUUCCAGGUGUAGCGGUGAAAUGCGUAGAGAUCUGGAGGAAUACCGGUGGCGAAAGGCGGCCCCCUGGACAAAGACUGACGCUCAGGUGCGAAAGCGUGGGGAGCAAACAGGAUUAGAUACCCUGGUAGUCCACGCCGUAAACGAUGUCGACUUGGAGGUUGUGCCCUUGAGGCGUGGCUUCCGGAGCUAACGCGUUAAGUCGACCGCCUGGGGAGUACGGCCGCAAGGUUAAAACUCAAAUGAAUUGACGGGGGCCCGCACAAGCGGUGGAGCAUGUGGUUUAAUUCGAUGCAACGCGAAGAACCUUACCUACUCUUGACAUCCAGCGAAUUCGGUAGAGAUACCUUAGUGCCUUCGGGAACGCUGAGACAGGUGCUGCAUGGCUGUCGUCAGCUCGUGUUGUGAAAUGUUGGGUUAAGUCCCGCAACGAGCGCAACCCUUAUCCUUUGUUGCCAGCGGUCCGGCCGGGAACUCAAAGGAGACUGCCAGUGAUAAACUGGAGGAAGGUGGGGAUGACGUCAAGUCAUCAUGGCCCUUACGAGUAGGGCUACACACGUGCUACAAUGGCGCAUACAAAGAGAAGCGACCUCGCGAGAGCAAGCGGACCUCAUAAAGUGCGUCGUAGUCCGGAUUGGAGUCUGCAACUCGACUCCAUGAAGUCGGAAUCGCUAGUAAUCGUAGAUCAGAAUGCUACGGUGAAUACGUUCCCGGGCCUUGUACUCACCGCC